CUGGGAAAGCUGUGACAGUUUUGCAAUUGCAUGUAAAAGAUUUACAGAUCUGUAAAAGAUUUACAGAUAACUGAAAGGUGCAUUACACUAAUCAGAGGAAUGCAUAACCUCUGCAAAGCAGGUUGAGCUUGUUCUUCUCUUUAUGACUGAUUUCACAGCAAAAACAAUAACAUGCACAAACUAAACACGGAAAUGAAAGAUGCCUCUUCUCACCUCCAUAACUGUCCUAGAACUCAGAACUCUGCAGAGCUGAUAUACACAUCAAUGUCUGCUCAAAGUAACAAAAGUGCAAUCCAGUGGAAUUAAAUGCAGUUGUGUUUUGAUG